AUUGAACGCUGGCGGCAGGCCUAACACAUGCAAGUCGAGCGGGGUUUUCGGACCUAGCGGCGGACGGGUGAGUAAUGCGUAGGAAGCUACCCGAUAGAGGGGGAUACCAGUUGGAAACGACUGUUAAUACCGCAUAAUGUCUACGGACCAAAGUGUGGGACCUUCGGGCCACAUGCUAUCGGAUGCGCCUACGUGGGAUUAGCUAGUUGGUGGGGUAAUGGCUCACCAAGGCGACGAUCCCUAGCUGGUUUGAGAGGAUGAUCAGCCACACUGGAACUGAGACACGGUCCAGACUCCUACGGGAGGCAGCAGUGGGGAAUAUUGGACAAUGGGCGCAAGCCUGAUCCAGCCAUGCCGCGUGUGUGAAGAAGGCCUUCGGGUUGUAAGGCACUUUCAGUAGGGAGGAAGGGUUAAGUGUUAAUAGUACUUAACUUUGACGUUACCUACAGAAGAAGCACCGGCUAACUCUGUGCCAGCCGCCGCUGUAACAC
rnacentral:rRNA from 1 species